rnacentral:siRNA from 1 species
UUGUGAUCGUGGUGGUUGCGGCA